CCUACGGGCCGCACCAGUGGGGAAUAUUGCACAAUGGGCGCAAGCCUGAUGCAGCCAUGCCGCGUGUAUGAAGAAGGCCUUCGGGUUGUAAAGUACUUUCAGCGGGGAGGAAGGUGUUGUGGUUAAUAACCACAGGAAUUGACGUUACCCGCAGAAGAAGCACCGGCUAACUCCGUGCCAGCAGCCGCGGUAAUACGGAGGGUGCAAGCGUUAAUCGAAAUUACUGGGCGUAAAGCGCACGCAGGCGGUCUGUCAAGUCGUAUGUGAAAUCCCCGGGCUCAACCUGGGAACUGCAUUCGAAACUGGCAGGCUAGAGUCUUGUAGAGGGGGGUAGAAUUCCAGGUGUAGCGGUGAAAUGCGUAGAGAUCUGGAGGAAUACCGGUGGCGAAGGCGGCCCCCUGGACAAAGACUGACGCUCAGGUGCGAAAGCGUGGGGAGCAAACAGGAUUAGAUACCCUUGUAGUC
rnacentral:rRNA from 1 species